rnacentral:misc_RNA from 1 species
CCUAAGAGAUACGUGUUAUGUGCAGUGCUCACACAGAUUGUCUGAUGAAGAACGAGCAGAGAUACCGGUAUAGGCUUGUAGCUCAGGUGGUUAGAGCGCACCCCUGAUAAGGGUGAGGUCGGUGGUUCAAGUCCACUCAGGCCUACCACUUUUCCUUUAUGCUGUGUUGUGAAGCAACUCGUUUACAUUAAGUAAACUUCGUUACUCCACGCCUUGCCUAAAGAAAAAGCUUCUUAUUAUAAGAAGAAAAAGGAGUGGUUAUACGGGUAUUAAAAUAUUAUGGGGCUAUAGCUCAGCUGGGAGAGCGCCUGCCUUGCACGCAGGAGGUCAGCGGUUCGAUCCCGCUUAGCUCCACCAUAAUCUCUUGAAUAUAAAACAAUGAUUCAGAGUAUAUUAGGAAUAGUAUACUGUGAAUUAUUAUGCUCUUUAGCAAUCUGGAACAAGCUGAAAAAUUGAAAACAAAUCAAUAUAUCAGCGAGGUAUAUUGGUGAGUCUCUCAAAAUCUCAAACCUUAAAGUUUGUCACGCAAAGUUUAUCUUUGAAAAAGACACUUUCGGGUUGUGA